ACACCAAUGGUGAAGCGGUUAUCAUGCUUGCCUUCCACUUUCGAACACGUGACUUUCACGUGCUAAAAUCGUGACUUUCAGCAAGCGGCAGGGGUUCGACUCCCCUUUGGUGUA